rnacentral:rRNA from 1 species
AGUGAACGCUGGCGGUAGGCCUAACACAUGCAAGUCGAACGGCAGCACAGUAAGAGCUUGCUCUUACGGGUGGCGAGUGGCGGACGGGUGAGGAAUACAUCGGAAUCUACUUUUUCGUGGGGGAUAACGUAGGGAAACUUACGCUAAUACCGCAUACGACCUACGGGUGAAAGCAGGGGAUCUUCGGACCUUGCGCGAUUGAAUGAGCCGAUGUCGGAUUAGCUAGUUGGCGGGGUAAAGGCCCACCAAGGCGACGAUCCGUAGCUGGUCUGAGAGGAUGAUCAGCCACACUGGAAGUGAGACGCGGUCCAGACUCCUACGGGAGGCAGCAGUGGGGAAUAUUGGACAAUGGGGGCAAGCCUGAUCCAGCCAUACCGCGUCGGUGAAGAAGGCCUUCGGGUUGUAAAGCCCUCUUGUUGGGAAAGAAAAGCAGCAGGUUAAUACCCCGCUGUUCUGACGGUACCCAAAGAAUAAGCACCGGCUAACUUCGUG